GCUAGCCUUCUCAGCUAGCCUUUAGAUUUGUCUGCUAACAGUAAAAAUACUAUAAUAAAUCGGUAACAUAUGUUGCCAGGCAAGGAAAAGUGAUAUAAAUAAAGAGACCAGGAGACCCAAACCAAGUGCAAUGUGAAAAGAAUUUAACUUUCAAUCUAUUCGUUAGCUAAUUAUCAUUUGAAAAGUAAUUUGAAAGUGUUACAGUUAUUUGCUUAUAUUCUUCCUCAUUUUUCUUUUUUUCUCUUCAGAUUGCAUUCUUACCCAAAUACUCUUCGUGAUUGCCUGCUUUGCGGCUUUGGGCAAGUAUUUGUCAAGAAGAUCUAUGAGGAAUAACCUCGCAGGCCCCUAAAAAUAAGAAUUUUCCUAGUGUGAAAUGAUGCCCUUUGUGGAAUGAUUCUUCAGGGAGUGGAGGACAUUCACGUGGAUUGACAUCCCAAUUUUCUCAUCCUGUUGAAGCCGGCUUUUUCAUUUACCGACAACUAACUCAAAAAUCUUAAAUUUGAUAUUUUGAGGUUUGCAUUUCCAAAUAUCCAAAAACUCUUCCUUUUCAUAUGGCCCCUCCCCAGCAUGUUCUGAAGUGGUCUAUUUCAAACAAAAGAAGAUGACAUCCCUCUUUCAACUAGCAAAUGUUGGAUUCUCUAAACCGACUGGGGGCAAACUGGAAGUUUUGCAAUUAGAUUCACACAAACUGAAUUAUGUUCAUUAUUCCCAAACAUUCUUCUUCGAACUUCACAAAUAUAACAAUACUGAGUUUUUAGAGUUUCCUGUGGCUUGUUUACAAAUAAAGGUAUCUCGAUAAAAACCAAGCCCUGUGUAUUUUUGAAAAA